CGCUUGGCAUACAUGAGAUCAAACUUGUGAUCAAUGCGUCCGAAGACUUCUGCAACACUUGUGGAAUUGGAGAUCAUGCAAACAGCCCUCUGCACCUUGGCAAGGUCACCUCCAGGAACAACAGUUGGUGGUUGGUAGUUAAUGCCACACUUGAAUCCAGUAGGGCACCAAUCAACAAACUGGAUUGUGCGCUUAGUCUUGAUGGUGGCAACAGCUGCAUUCACAUCCUUGGGCACAACAUCACCCCUGUACAUUAGGCAGCAAGCCAUGUACUUGCCAUGGCGCGGGUCACACUUGGCCAUCAUGGAUGAAGGCUCAAAAGCGCUAUUGGUGAUCUCAGC
rnacentral:misc_RNA from 1 species